CGGUGAAGUCCGACCGAGGUUCAGCGACGGGUGAAGCAACAGCUCGCAUCUGAGAAGAACACCUAAAACCGAGUUGAUUGAAGGUUGUAAACUUCAUAUCUAGGGUUUACCCUAUUUCCAAAUCAGACGAUCAACUCCAAGGUUUGAAGAACUAGAAUCAAAGCUUGAUGCUUAUGUGAUU